rnacentral:rRNA from 1 species
CUUAGCAGAGAUGCUUUGGUGCCUUCGGGAACUCUGAGACAGGUGCUGCAUGGCUGUCGUCAGCUCGUGUUGUGAAAUGUUGGGUUAAGUCCCGCAACGAGCGCAACCCCUAUCCUUUGUUGCCAGCGAUUCGGUCGGGAACUCAAAGGAGACUGCCGGUGAUAAACCGGAGGAAGGUGGGAUGACGUCAAGUCAUCAUGGCCCUUACGAGUAGGGCUACACACGUGCUACAAUGGCGCAUACAAAGAGAAGCGACCUCGCGAGAGCAAGCGGACCUCAUAAAGUGCGUCGUAGUCCGGAUUGGAGUCUGCAACUCGACUCCAUGAAGUCGGAAUCGCUAGUAAUCGUAGAUCAGAAUGCUACGGUGAAUACGUUCCCGGGCCUUGUACACACCGCCCGUCACACCAUGGGAGUGGGUUGCAAAAGAAGUAGAUAGCUUAACCUUCGGGAGGGCGUUUACCACUUUGUGAUUCAUGACUGGGGUGAAGUCGUAACAAGGUAGGCGUAGCGAG